UAGGGAAUCUUCGGCAAUGGGGGGAACCCUGACCGAGCAACGCCGCGUGAGUGAAGAAGGUUUUCGGAUCGUAAAGCUCUGUUGUUAAGGAAGAACGAGUGUGAGAAUGGAAAGUUCAUACUGUGACGGUACUUAACCAGAAAGGGACGGCUAACUACGUGCCAGCAGCCGCGGUAAUACGUAGGUCCCGAGCGUUGUCCGGAUAUAUUGGGCGUAAAGCGAGCGCAGGCGGUUAGAUAAGUCUGAUGUGAAAGCCCCCGGCUCAACCGGGGAGGGUCAUUGGAAACUGGUUGACUUGAGUGCAGAAGAGGAGAGUGGAAUUCCAUGUGUAGCGGUGAAAUGCGUAGAUAUAUGGAGGAACACCAGUGGCGAAGGCGACUCUCUGGUCUGUAACUGACGCUGAGGCUCGAAAGCGUGGGUAGCAAACAG
rnacentral:rRNA from 1 species